GACGAACGCUGGCGGCGUGCUUAACACAUGCAAGUCGAACGGAAAGGCCCUGCUUUUGUGGGGUGCUCGAGUGGCGAACGGGUGAGUAACACGUGAGUAACCUGCCCUUGACUUUGGGAUAACUUCAGGAAACUGGGGCUAAUACCGGAUAGGAGCUCCUGCUGCAUGGUGGGGGUUGGAAAGUUUCGGCGGUUGGGGAUGGACUCGCGGCUUAUCAGCUUGUUGGUGGGGUAGUGGCUUACCAAGGCCUUGACGGGUAGCCGGCCUGAGAGGGUGACCGGCCACAUUGGGACUGAGAUACGGCCCGGACUCCUACGGGAGGCAGCAGUGGGGAAUAUUGCACAAUGGGCGGAAGCCUGAUGUAGCAACGCCGCGUGCGGGAUGACGGCCUUCGGGUUGUAAACCGCUUUCGCCUGUGACGAAGCGUGAGUGACGGUAAUGGGUAAAGAAGCACCGGCUAACUACGUGCCAGCAGCCGCGGCGAUACGUAGGGUGCGAGCGUUGUCCGGAUUUAUUGGGCGUAAAGGGCUCGUAGGUGGUUGAUCGCGUCGGAAGUGUAAUCUUGGGGCUUAACCCUGAGCGUGCUUUCGAUACGGGUUGACUUGAGGAAGGUAGGGGAGAAUGGAAUUCCUGGUGGAGCGGUGGAAUGCGCAGAUAUCAGGAGGAACACCAGUGGCGAAGGCGGUUCUCUGGGCCUUUCCUGACGCUGAGGAGCGAAAGCGUGGGGAGCGAACAGGCUUAGAUACCCUGGUAGUCCACGCUGUAAACGGUGGGUACUAGGUGUGGGGUCCAUUCCACGGGUUCCGUGCCGUAGCUAACGCUUUAAGUACCCCGCCUGGGGAGUACGGCCGCAAGGCUAAAACUCAAAGGAAUUGACGGGGCCCCGCACAAGCGGCGGAGCAUGCGGAUUAAUUCGAUGCAACGCGUAGAACCUUACCUGGGUUUGACAUGGAUCGGGAGCGCUCAGAGAUGGGUGUGCCUCUUUUGGGGUCGGUUCACAGGUGGUGCAUGGCUGUCGUCAGCUCGUGUCGUGAGAUGUUGGGUUAAGUCCCGCAACGAGCGCAACCCUUGUUCACUGUUGCCAGCACGUUAUGGUGGGGACUCAGUGGAGACCGCCGGGGUCAACUCGGAGGAAGGUGGGGAUGACGUCAAGUCAUCAUGCCCCUUAUGUCCAGGGCUUCACGCAUGCUACAAUGGCUGGUACAGAGAGUGGCGAGCCUGUGAGGGUGAGCGAAUCUCGGAAAGCCGGUCUCAGUUCGGAUUGGGGUCUGCAACUCGACCUCAUGAAGUCGGAGUCGCUAGUAAUCGCAGAUCAGCAACGCUGCGGUGAAUACGUUCCCGGG
rnacentral:rRNA from 1 species